rnacentral:rRNA from 1 species
UACGAAGGGGGCUAGCGUUGCUCGGAAUCACUGGGCGUAAAGGGUGCGUAGGCGGGUCUUUAAGUCAGGGUGAAAUCCUGGAGCUCAACUCCAGAACUGCCUUUGAUACUGAAGAUCUUGAGUUCGGAGAGGUGGUGGAACUGCGAGUGUAGAGGUGAAAUUCGUAGAUAUUCGCAAGAACACCAGUGGCGAAGGCGGCUCACUGGCCCGAGUACUGACGCUGAGGCACGAAAGCGUGGGAGCAAACAGGGAGUU